CUGGCAGUAAACGGUGGAUACUAGGUAUCAGGGGUCAAGGCCUUUGGUGCCGAAGCAAACGCGUUAAGUAUCCCGCCUGGGGACUACGGCCGCAAGGUUAAAACUCAAAGGAAUUGACGGGGACCCGCACAAGCAGCGGAGCGUGUGGUUUAAUUCGAUGCAACGCGAAGAACCUCACCUGGGUUUGACAUAUACGUAGUAGGGAACCGAAAGGGGACCGACGCUUCGGCGAGCGUAUACAGGUGC
rnacentral:rRNA from 1 species